GGGUUGUGAGGUUAAGCGACUAAGCGUACACGGUGGAUGCCCUGGCAGUCAGAGGCGAUGAAGGACGUGCUAAUCUGCGAUAAGCGUCGGUAAGGUGAUAUGAACCGUUAUAACCGGCGAUUUCCGAAUGGGGAAACCCAGUGUGAUUCGUCACACUAUCAUUACGUGAAUACAUAGCGUAAUGAAGCGAACCGGGGGAACUGAAACAUCUAAGUACCCCGAGGAAAAGAAAUCAACCGAGAUUCCCCCAGUAGCGGCGAGCGAACGGGGAGCAGCCCAGAGUCUGAAUCAGCUUGUGUGUUAGUGGAACGGUCUGGAAAGUCCGACGGUACAGGGUGAUAGUCCCGUACACCAAAAUGCACAGGUUGUGAACUCGAAGAGUAGGGCGGGACACGUGGUAUCCUGUCUGAAUAUGGGGGGACCAUCCUCCAAGGCUAAAUACUCCUGACUGACCGAUAGUGAACCAGUACCGUGAGGGAAAGGCGAAAAGAACCCCGGCGAGGGGAGUGAAAAAGAACCUGAAACCGUGUACGUACAAGCAGUGGGAGCCUCUUUAUGGGGUGACUGCGUACCUUUUGUAUAAUGGGUCAGCGACUUAUAUUCUGUAGCAAGGUUAACCGUAUAGGGGAGCCGAAGGGAAACCGAGUCUUAACUGGGCGUUAAGUUGCAGGGUAUAGACCCGAAACCCGGUGAUCUAGCCAUGGGCAGGUUGAAGGUUGGGUAACACUAACUGGAGGACCGAACCGACUAAUGUUGAAAAAUUAGCGGAUGACUUGUGGCUGGGGGUGAAAGGCCAAUCAAACCGGGAGAUAGCUGGUUCUCCCCGAAAGCUAUUUAGGUAGCGCCUCGUGAACUCAUCUUCGGGGGUAGAGCACUGUUUCGGCUAGGGGGUCAUCCCGACUUACCAACCCGAUGCAAACUGCGAAUACCGAAGAAUGUUAUCACGGGAGACACACGGCGGGUGCUAACGUCCGUCGUGAAGAGGGAAACAACCCAGACCGCCAGCUAAGGUCCCAAAGUCAUGGUUAAGUGGGAAACGAUGUGGGAAGGCACAGACAGCCGGGAUGUUGGCUUAGAAGCAGCCAUCAUUUAAAGAAAGCGUAAUAGCUCACUGGUCGAGUCGGCCUGCGCGGAAGAUGUAACGGGGCUAAACCAUGCACCGAAGCUGCGGCAGCGACACUAUGUGUUGUUGGGUAGGGGAGCGUUCUGUAAGCCGUUGAAGGUGGCCUGUGAGGGUUGCUGGAGGUAUCAGAAGUGCGAAUGCUGACAUAAGUAACGAUAAUGCGGGUGAAAAACCCGCACGCCGGAAGACCAAGGGUUCCUGUCCAACGUUAAUCGGGGCAGGGUGAGUCGACCCCUAAGGCGAGGCCGAAAGGCGUAGUCGAUGGGAAACAGGUUAAUAUUCCUGUACUUGGUGUUACUGCGAAGGGGGACGGAGAAGGCUAUGUUAGCCGGGCGACGGUUGUCCCGGUUUAAGCAUGUAGGCGGAGGUUCCGGUAAAUCCGGUACCUUUUAACGCUGAGGUGUGAUGACGAGGCACUACGGUGCUGAAGUAACAAAUGCCCUGCUUCCGGAAAAGCCUCUAAGCAUCAGGUAACACGAAAUCGUACCCCAAACCGACACAGGUGGUCAGGUAGAGAAUACCAAGGCGCUUGAGAGAACUCGGGUGAAGGAACUAGGCAAAAUGGUGCCGUAACUUCGGGAGAAGGCACGCUGAUAUGUAGGUGAAGUGAUUUACUCAUGGAGCUGAAAUCAGUCGAAGAUACCAGCUGGCUGCAACUGUUUAUUAAAAACACAGCACUGUGCAAACACGAAAGUGGACGUAUACGGUGUGACGCCUGCCCGGUGCCGGAAGGUUAAUUGAUGGGGUUAUCCGUAAGGAGAAGCUCUUGAUCGAAGCCCCGGUAAACGGCGGCCGUAACUAUAACGGUCCUAAGGUAGCGAAAUUCCUUGUCGGGUAAGUUCCGACCUGCACGAAUGGCGUAAUGAUGGCCGUGCUGUCUCCACCCGAGACUCAGUGAAAUUGAACUCGCUGUGAAGAUGCAGUGUACCCGCGGCAAGACGGAAAGACCCCGUGAACCUUUACUAUAGCUUGACACUGAACACUGGUCCUUGAUGUGUAGGAUAGGUGGGAGGCUUUGAAGUGUGGACGCCAGUCUGCAUGGAGCCAUCCUUGAAAUACCACCCUUUAAUGGCUGGUGUUCUAACGUGGACCCGUAAUCCGGGUUGCGGACAGUGUCUGGUGGGUAGUUUGACUGGGGCGGUCUCCUCCUAAAGAGUAACGGAGGAGCACGAAGGUUAGCUAAUCCUGGUCGGACAUCAGGAGGUUAGUGCAAAGGCAUAAGCUAGCUUGACUGCGAGAGUGACGGCUCGAGCAGGUGCGAAAGCAGGUCUUAGUGAUCCGGUGGUUCUGAAUGGAAGGGCCAUCGCUCAACGGAUAAAAGGUACUCCGGGGAUAACAGGCUGAUACCGCCCAAGAGUUCAUAUCGACGGCGGUGUUUGGCACCUCGAUGUCGGCUCAUCACAUCCUGGGGCUGAAGUAGGUCCCAAGGGUAUGGCUGUUCGCCAUUUAAAGUGGUACGCGAGCUGGGUUUAGAACGUCGUGAGACAGUUCGGUCCCUAUCUGCCGUGGGCGCUGGAGAAUUGAGGGGGCUGCUCCUAGUACGAGAGGACCGGAGUGGACGCAUCACUGGUGUUCGGGUUGUCAUGCCAAUGGCAUUGCCCGGUAGCUAAAUGCGGAAGAGAUAAGUGCUGAAAGCAUCUAAGCACGAAACUUGCCCCGAGAUGAGUUCUCCCUGAGACUAUAAGUCUCCUGAAGGAACGUUGAAGACGACGACGUUGAUAGGUCGGGUGUGUAAGUGUAGCGAUACAUUGAGCUAACCGAUACUAAUGAACCGUGAGGCUUAACCUUACAACGCCGAAG
rnacentral:rRNA from 1 species